rnacentral:lncRNA from 1 species
UCAAACACCACCAAAUAUCGAUGUCCCUUUAUAACAAAUCCCUCUUCAGAUAUGUUUGAGAAACACAAUUCCACGCUCGAUAGUGAAACGUAUACUCGAUUAACGGAUCCUUGUAUAGUUUUCUAGCCAAGGUCGUCUUACCAAGCCCAGCCAUUCCCGCAAUCGUUAAAACCUGCAACUUCAUUGUACAAGUUGUGGUAAGCUGAUCAAGUAGUGUUUGUACUUCAUCAUCGAAGCCCUCGACAGUUUCUUCUAACUCUACAUCUGAGCCAUAUCUGAUUUCCAAGAGCUUUUCACAAUUCUCAAGUACCAUGUCAAUCUGAUAUCGAGAGAAAGCUGGGACAACCGAGUCAGCAAAUUCUAACUCCAUAUCAUGUAAUAUAAUCUUCACUUCUUCAUUUUCAUAUCCUAAUCUUUAUAAUAUUUUCUCUUAUCGUACGGAAUUUUCUUAUGAUCCUGGAUCUGCAUGCUGGAGAUUAAUCUCU